GGGACACGUGGUAUCCUGUCUGAAUAUGGGGGGACCAUCCUCCAAGGCUAAAUACUCCUGACUGACCGAUAGUGAACCAGUACCGUGAGGGAAAGGCGAAAAGAACCCCGGCGAGGGGAGUGAAAAAGAACCUGAAACCGUGUACGUACAAGCAGUGGGAGCACCUUCGUGGUGUGACUGCGUACCUUUUGUAUAAUGGGUCAGCGACUUAUAUUCUGUAGCAAGGUUAACCGAAUAGGGGAGCCGAAGGGAAACCGAGUCUUAACUGGGCGUUAAGUUGCAGGGUAUAGACCCGAAACCCGGUGAUCUAGCCAUGGGCAGGUUGAAGGUUGGGUAACACUAACUGGAGGACCGAACCGACUAAUGUUGAAAAAUUAGCGGAUGACUUGUGGCUGGGGGUGAAAGGCCAAUCAAACCGGGAGAUAGCUGGUUCUCCCCGAAAGCUAUUUAGGUAGCGCCUCGUGAAUUCAUCUCCGGGGGUAGAGCACUGUUUCGGCUAGGGGGCCAUCCCGGCUUACCAACCCGAUGCAAACUACGAAUACCGGAGAAUGUUAUCACGGGAGACACACGGCGGGUGCUAACGUCCGUCGUGAAGAGGGAAACAACCCAGACCGCCAGCUAAGGUCCCAAAGUCAUGGUUAAGUGGGAAACGAUGUGGGAAGGCACAGACAGCCAGGAUGUUGGCUUAGAAGCAGCCAUCAUUUAAAGAAAGCGUAAUAGCUCACUGGUCGAGUCGGCCUGCGCGGAAGAUGUAACGGGGCUA
rnacentral:rRNA from 1 species